rnacentral:rRNA from 9 species
UUCAUGACUGGGGUGAAGUCGUAACAAGGUAACCGUAGGGGAACCUGCGGUUGGAUCACCUCCUUACCUUAAAGAA